rnacentral:rRNA from 1 species
CAGCCGCCACGGUAAUACGAAGGGGGCUAGCGUUGCUCGGAAUUACUGGGCGUAAAGGGAGCGUAGGCGGGUCGUUUAGUCAGAGGUGAAAUCCCGGGGCUCAACCUCGGAACUGCCUUUGAUACUGGCGACCUUGAGUAUGGGAGAGGUGAGUGGAACUCCGAGUGUAGAGGUGAAAUUCGUAGGUAUUCGGAAGAACACCAGUGGCGAAGGCGACUCACUGGCCCAUUACUGACGCUGAGGCUCGAAAGCGUGGGGAGCAAACAGGAUUAGAUACCCCCGUAGUCCCUGUCUCUUAUAC